UACGUAGGUGACAAGCGUUGUCCGGAUUUACUGGGCGUAAAGCGCGCGUAGGCGGAUCUGCAAGUCGGGGGUGAAAUCCCGAGGCUCAACCUCGGAACUGCCUUCGAUACUGCGGGUCUCGAGUCCGGGAGAGGUGAGUGGAAUUCCUAGUGUAGAGGUGAAAUUCGUAGAUAUUAGGAAGAACACCAGUGGCGAAGGCGGCUCACUGGCCCGGUACUGACGCUGAGGCGCGAAAGCGUGGGGAGCAAACAGG
rnacentral:rRNA from 1 species